AUUGAACGCUGGCGGCAUGCCUUACACAUGCAAGUCGAACGGCAGCAUGGGUGCUUGCACCUGAUGGCGAGUGGCGAACGGGUGAGUAAUGCAUCGGAACGUACCCGGAAGUGGGGGAUAACGUAGCGAAAGUUACGCUAAUACCGCAUAUUCUGUGAGCAGGAAAGAGGGGGAUCGCAAGACCUCUCGCUUUCGGAGCGGCCGAUGUCGGAUUAGCUAGUUGGCGGGGUAAAGGCCCACCAAGGCAACGAUCCGUAGCGGGUCUGAGAGGAUGAUCCGCCACACUGGGACUGAGACACGGCCCAGACUCCUACGGGAGGCAGCAGUGGGGAAUUUUGGACAAUGGGCGCAAGCCUGAUCCAGCCAUGCCGCGUGAGUGAAGAAGGCCUUCGGGUUGUAAAGCUCUUUCGGCCGGGAAGAAAUCGCACAGGUUAAUACCCUGUGUGGAUGACGGUACCGGAAUAAGAAGCACCGGCUAACUACGUGCCAGCAGCCGCCGCCG
rnacentral:rRNA from 1 species